GUCAGUUCACUGGCUUGUAAAGGGUUAUUGCAAUGUGGACCAAGUCAUCUAAGUGAAUCCAUUCUUCUAAGUCCAAGUGUUUUUCUGGAACACCUGAGUUGAGUGUGGGUAACAAAACAUUCCUGAGGACCAAAAGUUGUUGUGACCUUCGGAGCUAGGUUUUUCUUUUUCUUGGUUUUUGUUGACACUGGGCUGAUAAAGUGGGCCUUCUUUAAUUUUGGGUGAGUCCAUAUUUGCUAGGUUAAAAGUGAGGUUAGGUUCAUGGGAAAUUUUUUGGUCUUGGGACAAAAGACUUAGGGUAGUCUUUUUCUUUGCUGGAGUUUGACCAGAGGAGUCACAGGGAGCCUCCAAAGCAAUUAAAGCUUCUUUCUAAAAAAGGAAGGUUAGAUAAGGGAGAUCUUUGGCGAGAUAGGCAGUAUCUAUGAUGGGGAGAGGUAAUCCUACCAAAGUUGAGGGAUUUGAUCUAUUGGAAUAGGAAGGCAACCUCGUUUCUUGAUUCUCAGGAGGACACACUGCUUAAGGAUACACUAGAAAGGAAAGCCUUAUGAAUAGGCAAAAAACCAAUCAGUUUUAUGGUCUUUUUGGAAGGGACUUCCAUAGCUGAUGAUUUUCCAUUUUUGGUAGUGUUGAGUCAUGGGCAAGGUUUUCCAGUUAUGGUGGAGCAUCAUGUGACUUCACUUCCAAUUGUUCUUCCAUAGAUGGUCUUAUGGUGCUCAAAACAAGAUUUUAUGAAGAAGGUUAUGGUUAAGAUAGGGUUUCAGUGUUUGGUGAGGUUGGGGUAUUCUUCUUAUUAUUAGCCAGGUACGCUCUCAUCCGUAGACCAUAUUUCCCUUUGGUGUUAAAAGUAGUGGCAUUCUCUGGAUUUUGUUGGAUUGAAGGACAGAAUUUGCAUAUAUGUCCCGUGACUCCACAUGAAAAGCAUAUAUCGGGAAGCUUCUCAAAUUUGAAAUUUAUCCAUUGUAGUUCCCCUCGGAUCUUGAGGAACUGAGGGUAUCCAAUGAGCCCACCCUGAGUUAAAUCAGUUUCUAAAAAUUCACCCAUAGCAUUCCCAAUUGUUUUAGUGUUGUCUGUAAUGAGCUGAUUAGGCGAUAACCUAUAUGCUUAAACCCAAAAGGGUGAAUAAGUGAAUUGGAUUUCUUCAAACCCCUAAUCUAGAGGCCACUCCUGUAUAGCAAGGUGUUGAUUCUGAAUAUUCCAUGGCCAAUUCUCCAGUACAAAUUUGACAUGUACUUCAUGUUGAAAAGUUAAGAGAAAAGUACUAAGUUUUUUGGGUGUAAUCUAGAACUGAUGUCUGGUUCUCAAAGCAGCUUCAAGAGCAACUUUCAUAGCAAAUAAGCUAAGCCUUUUGGAUGAUAUCGCCUUCCCCACUAACACAAGUUAUUGUUGCUUGGUUGUUUGAGUAUUGUCUGAUGAUAGUUUUAAAAUUAUCCUCUGAAAGGAGAUUUUGGGCCUUUGAAAUUAAUUCCAUAAUGUGGUUAUCACUCGUGGCACAGAUGAUGAAGUUAAAAGCAGAGGAGAUGGUCAGUUGUUGGGUUGUAAUAAGUAGCAGGUAGAGGAAUAAAUACAAGAAAGAAUAAGACAGUAAUGGUGAAGUGACUAUAGGAACGUUUUCAGAGGAGUUUUUGCUGGUUAGUAGGAGUAAUGGUGAAGUUGGUAUACUGGAUGAUGUAUUGAGGAUUGUCAUAAGGCAUAAGAUUAGCGAAAGUCUAGGAAUGAAACUAAGAUCAAAUGGAUAAGCUGUGUUGAGCUAAUUAGUGAAUUCUGUUUGAGGAACCUUAUUCCAAAGAGUAGGGAUGAACCCUUAGAUUUUGUUGACUGACUGAUGGCAUACUGACAAUGAUAAGGCAUUUCUCUCUC